CUUUCUCCGCCGGCGACCGGCGCACGGGUGAGUAACACGUAUGCAACCUGCCCCUGUCAGGGGGCAAAAACCCGCCGAAAGGCGGGCUAAACCCGCGUACAUGCCACCGGGGCAUCCCGGAGGCAGGAAAGGCUUCGGCCGGACAGGGAUGGGCAUGCGGCGCAUUAGGCAGUAGGCGGGGUAACGGCCCACCUAACCGACGAUGCGUAGGGGUUCUGAGAGGAAGGUCCCCCACACUGGUACUGAGACACGGACCAGACUCCUACGGAAGGCAGCAG
rnacentral:rRNA from 1 species